GUUGGUGUAUUGUAUAGUUCUGGGGAUUGGAUUUCACUCAAAACCCACCGAAUGACCCCUCCCAAAAUGUUAUGAUGUUCCUCAAGUUUUGGACACAAUCCGACAUCGAUUGGUCAACGAAAUCGGACAAUUUCGGUUCGUACGAAGUUCGUACUGAAAUGGAGUGGCUGGUGUACUGUAUAAUUCUAGGGAUUGGAUUUCACUCAAAACCC
rnacentral:lncRNA from 1 species